AGAGCGAACGCUGGCGGCAGGCCUAACACAUGCAAGUCGAGCGCCCGUAGCAAUACGGGAGCGGCAGACGGGAUAGUAACACGUGGGAACGCGCCCUUCGGUUCGGAAUAACUCAGGGAAACUUGAGCUAAUACCGGAUACGCCCUUACGGGGAAAGAUUUAUUGCCGAAGGAACGGCCCGCGUCCGAUUAGCUAGUUGGUGAGGUAAUGGCUCACCAAGGCGACGAUCGGUAGCUGGUCUGAGAGGAUGACCAGCAUCACUGGGACUGAGACACGGCCCAGACUCCUACGGGAGGCAGCAGUGGGGAAUAUUGGACAAUGGGCGCAAGCCUGAUCCAGCCAUGCCGCAUGGAUGAUGAAGGCCUUAGGGUUGUAAAGUCCUUUUAACGGGGAAGAUAAUGACGGUACCCGUAGAAUAAGCCCCGGCUAACUUCGUGCCAGCAGCCGC
rnacentral:rRNA from 1 species